GACGAACGCUGGCGGCGUGCUUAACACAUGCAAGUCGAACGGAAAGGCCCUGCUUUUGUGGGGUGCUCGAGUGGCGAACGGGUGAGUAACACGUGAGUAACCUGCCCUUGACUUUGGGAUAACUUCAGGAAACUGGGGCUAAUACCGGAUAGGAGCUCCUGCUGCAUGGUGGGGGUUGGAAAGUUUCGGCGGUUGGGGAUGGACUCGCGGCUUAUCAGCUUGUUGGUGGGGUAGUGGCUUACCAAGGCUUUGACGGGUAGCCGGCCUGAGAGGGUGACCGGCCACAUUGGGACUGCGAUACGGCCCGGACUCCUACGGGAGGCAGCAGUGGGGAAUAUUGCACAAUGGGCGGAAGCCUGAUGCAGCAACGCCGCGUGCGGGAUGACGGCCUUCGGGUUGUAACCCGCUUUCGCCUGUGACGAAGCGUGAGUGACGGUAAUGGGUAAAGAAGCACCGGCUAACUACGUG
rnacentral:rRNA from 1 species